CAUCAGGUAGCUCAGAGGUAGAGCGAGUGGCUGUUAACCACUCGGUCGUUGGUUCAAUUCCAAUCCUGGUCU
rnacentral:tRNA from 1 species